GUCAAGACGAUCAGCUGAAGUUCAAACCAAGCAUCAGAAUGGGGAAGAAAGGUGAUUUAAGUGACUUUGAACGUGGCAUAGUUGUUGGUGCCAGACGGGAGUAUUGCAGAAACUGCUGAUCUACUGGGAUUUUCAUGCACAACCAUCUCUAGGGUUUACAGAGAAAGUCGAGGUGCACGGAAGAGCAUCUCUGAAUGCACAACACAUCGAACCUCGAAACAGAUGGGCCACAGCAGCAGAAGACCACACUGGGCGCCACUCCUGUCAGCUAAGAACAGGAAACUGAGGCUGCAACUGGCACAGGCUCACCAAAGUUGGAUAAUAGAAGAUUAGAAAAACGUU